AUUGUUAUAUCAAAACGCUUGUUGAUAUUCCAUUUAAAAUAUUACAAAAGGUUAUUUUUAGAAGGGUGAAUAAGCGAUAAUCACUGAUAAUAAAUAUUCACCUGACAAAACAUCACUGUAAACAUAAUAUUACAUGUUCUCUAACCUAGAAUUUGCAAAUUAAUUUAAACUUAAAAUCAUGAUUUCCUAUUUUGUUUGCUUUGUUAAUUUGGGGCGUAAUCAUAUAAGUUUAAGUAUUAUAAUUUUUAAAAUGUGGUAAUACAGCAGUUUUACUUUAGUCAUGGAAAUCAGUACUAACUUUAUUAAGGUUCUUAUAUAUCAUUAACUUGUACAUUUUUUAAAUUAUAGUAUUCAACUAUUGCUUUUAGUUGUUUUGGCUGUUACAUUUUUAUUCUAAAUACAAAUAGGUGAUUUUUAAAUAAUUAUAGCUGUCAUAUGACAGAGUAUAAAAAUUUGGAUGGAAUUAUCAAUGUAGGAAGUGUUUUAAAUAGUAAUAAAAGUGAUGAUAGUGUAAAUGUGCAAACUAAUUCUAAUAGAUUUUCCUCAUAUUCAUCUCUAACUGAAUCAAAUUCCAAGUAUAGAACAUAUAAACCAAUAGAAUGGACUUUGCAGUCUAUUAUGAGCUUGAUUUAUUCAACUAAUUAUGGUCGUUUUAUUUUGACUGAUGCAAAAGUAAACCAUGAACAUUUAUCUAAUGAUGCUCAAAAUACACUUACGAGACUUAAUAAAUUAUUUAUUUAAAGACAAAGCUCGGGGAACUGAUUUUUAAUUUCGGAAAAUUUCUUCAAUUAUCAUUGAAAUAUUUCGAAAAGAACAAGAAAAAGUAUAUUUUAUACCAUCAAGUCAAAAUAAUUCCAUGCAAAAGGAAAAUUAGUGGAAUGUUGGAAAAAUGUUGUACACCAGCUUCUGAAUAUAGGUGCUAUUGAAAGUAAAAGAAAAAAUAAAAACUUCUAUGAAACAUUAAUAAUUUUACACAUUUUCAUUUUAACAUUUAGUAAUAAUAUUGUCAAACAUUUAUGUUUUAUAUUCAUGCUAAUACAUCCAAUUCAUUUAUUUAUUUAAUAUAAAAAUUAAAAUAGAUGAAGCUGAAUUAGCAAAAGUUUGGUUAAGCACAAUUGGGUUGUCUUUUAACUUUGAUGAGAUUAAAAAACACUGAACAUUAACUUAUGAAAUAAGAAAGGCUAAAAAUCGAGGUUUAAAUAGCAUUACUGAGUGCUAUGGCUGGAAAUGUCUAGUUAUAAAAACAGCAACAAACUCUUCACCUUUAAUCAUUACUGUAAAUUAUUAAUAAAAUCUGAAAUAGUGGUCCAAAAGUUGUUAUUGACCAGUCAUUUUCUUAAUUAGAUUAUUAUCUAACAAAAAAGCCAAUAAAUUAUGUGUAUUGCUAUUAUGAAAAUUAAAUUUGACUUCCUUAUGAGGUAAAAGGGAUGAACAUAAAAAAAUACUUUAUGAAUGAUACAUUUAAAGAAACGUACUAAAAGAAACCAAUAAAAAAAUCAUCAAUAUUUUUAUUUUGUUUGUUUAUGAUGGUUUAUUAAGACAUCUUAAUAAAUUGUACUUCAUUUUUUUCCAGUAAAUUUGUCAGAAUUCCAGAUUAUUAUUAAUUUUGUAAUACGCGCAAUAUUUUGUUACUGGCUUCUACAAAAACUCUUUUAGUUGGAGGUGGAUCAUUCCCAGCAACCAGAAAUUCAUAAUAAAUAUCGCGUUCUGCCUGAAUUUUUUUCAGCUCUAUUAUGAAUUUCCAAAUAGUUGUUUUGUCAUGCUUAAUUGGGCUUGUAAUCUUCUGUGAGCCGCUUCAGAAAUAUUAUUAGUUUUCUAAAAUCAAGAAAUUAUAAAUUAGUCAAUAAGUAUAAAUAUAAUUAACAUUUACAAUUGGUUACACUGUUUUGUUAACAAAAAUAUGGCUGUUACUGUUUAAAAACUUGUAAAAAUGUAUGUCUUCCAGGAUGAACAUUGUGAAUGAUUGUAUUAAAUGAAUUUUAAAUAUGUUUUGGAUGACCUCUAGGUUCCAUAGAUAGUUAGAUAAGUUCCAAGUUUGUAUAGGAAAUGCAGGUAUCCUCCUCGCCCCUUCUCUUCUUAAUAGUCCAAUAUAAAAAGUUUCAAGCCAAUCCAAUAUUGGCUGUAAUCUUGGAUAAGUAACUUCCAAUAUCUCACUUAAUUCUUCAAAACAACUGACUACAUCUUCUGGUGGUACGAAUGCUAAAGCUGUUACCAUUCUAGCAUGUAGAUUGAAGUCGCUGUCAUUUCUAUAAUCUCUACAAGGAUAAAUUAUAUUUUUCAACAAAUGGAAAAAACAACCUCUAAUUUCUAUAUUGGGAAAUUCUAUUCUGAAGGCAUUAUGAAUGGCCACUUCAAAAUCCACAGAUAUGCUCCCAACAAUUAUUCCUGGUGCUAAGUUUUUUAUUUCAACAAUUAGCCGUAGGUAAGUUGAUUGUUCUUUAUUUGGAAGUAAAGUAUACAGGCAAGGAUGUAUACCUCCAUUGCGAAUACCUAAUAUCACAAAAACUUGUGAAAAUAAUUGUGGACUUAUGUUGAAGGUUCCAUCAACAAACCAUUCAUCGCAUGUUGCUAGAAUCUGCAUAGUUCAUUUUACUUCUAAACCUCUCAUGCGACCAAAUAUGAGAAUCCUAUUUCUUGCUGGUCCAGUGUCGCAUAGAAGGAAAUUUUCAUAAAUGCCAGGCUCACUUUCGUACAUCUUGAAGCUCUCUGGAAUUUCCAAAUCUAUUAAUGUCAGUGGAGCAGUUGGCAUUUCAGGACCAUUUUGUCACCUGACUCUCCUGAUGGUCUUUUUAAGGCUGUUCAUUGAUUUAAGACUUCCUUUUGCAGUAACUGUCAUGUUUUCUAACAAGUGACUCUUCGUGACCACCAUGUACACCUCGAACCACAAUAUUGCCAUCAGUAAUAUGGAUACGACCUUUACAAUUGAGCUCUCUUCUACGACAACGAUAGGAUUCAGUUACACCAUUAGCAAGAACUUUAUCAAAAACAUACUGAUACCCUUCAUGAUUUACAACGUUUUGAUUGCGAUUAGUUAAAAUGUCCAUUUUAAAUAAAUUAAUAUUACAAAUAUAUAGAAAAAGUUCUUAAAACAAAGAAGUUUACUAAUUCACAGUAAAAAUCAUCAACAAGUCAAAAACAAAGCGAAAUAGAAUAAAUCAACGGCGUAUUUUACAAUCGAACGAACGCUUGAAGAACUAAUCGACUAAUAGGGCUGCUCAUCAAAUUCUAAAAUGGCAUAUUGAAAAAUUGAACACCUGCAAGACUUUUUCUACAAAUUCACUAUCAAUGUCGUUAAUUUUUAUUAAGGAUAUUUUUAAAAAAAUAAGUGAUAAUUCUAAACCUCGUCAUUAUAUAUAGCCCAUAAGAUAAUAGUUAAGAUGAAAUCUUUUUAUAAUAAUAAUAUUGAAGAGAAACUAAUAAAUGAUUUUCGUUGUGUUA